UGGGGAAUAUUGCACAAUGGGCGCAAGCCUGAUGCAGCAACGCCGCGUGAGGGACGACGGCCUUCGGGUUGUAAACCUCUUUUGGCAGGGAAGAAGCGAAAGUGACGGUACCUGCAGAAAAAGCACCGGCUAACUACGUGCCAGCAGCCGCGGUGAUACGUAGGGUGCAAGCGUUGUCCGGAAUUAUUGGGCGUAAAGAGCUCGUAGGCGGUUUGUCGCGUCUGCUGUGAAAACCCGAGGCUCAACCUCGGGCCUGCAGUGGGUACGGGCAAACUAGAGUGCGGUAGGGGAUAUUGGAAUUCCUGGUGUUGCGGUGGAAUGCGCAGAUAUCAGGAGGAACACCGAUGGCGAAGGCAGAUCUCUGGGCCGUAACUGACGCUGAGGAGCGAAAGCAUGGGGAGCGAACA
rnacentral:rRNA from 1 species